rnacentral:rRNA from 1 species
UUCGCCAGGGAACUACAAGCCCCAGCUUAAAACCCAAAGGACUUGGCGGUGCUUUAGACCCCCUAGAGGAGCCUGUUCUAGAAUCGAUAAUCCCCGUUCAACCUCACCCUCCCUUGUUUAUACAGCCUAUAUACCGCCGUCGUCAGCUUACCCUAUGAAGGAGUAAUAGUAAGAAAGAUUGGCAAAGCCCAAAACGUCAGGUCAAGGUGUAGCGCACGGGAGGGGAAGUAAUGGGCUACAUUUACUGACCCAGUAAAUACGGACCUUGCAUUGAAACAAGCAUCUGAAGGAGGAUUUAGCAGUAAGAGAGGAAUAGAGAGCCCCCGUGAAACCGGCCCUAAAGCGCGCACACACCGCCCGUCACUCUCCCCAAGGCUCAUCAACAAAUAAAUAAUACCCCGCCCGCCAUAAAGGGGAGGCAAGUCGUAACAUGGUAAGUGUAUCGGAAGCUGCACUUGGAAAAACC